UACAGAGGUCCCAAGCGUUGUUCGGAUUCACUGGGCGUAAAGGGUGCGUAGGUGGUGAGGUAAGUCGGAUGUGAAAGCUCGGAGCUCAACUCCGAAAUGGCAUUGGAAACUACCUUGCUCGAGGGUUGGAGGGGGGACUGGAAUGCUUGGUGUAGCAGUGAAAUGCGUAGAUAUCAGGCGGAACACCAGUGGCGAAGGCGAGUCCCUGGACAAAUCCUGACACUGAGGCACGAAAGCUAGGGGAGCAAACAGG
rnacentral:rRNA from 1 species